UACCUUAUCAACCAUUCUCUAAAGGAGAUAAACUUGGCAAGGUUUCUGAUUGGUCAAGUACAGCCUAUCAAAAUCGUUGAUACCAAAAUAAAUACUUAAAUCAAUUUGGUGGUGGUAAUCAAUAUGCAUAUUAUCACGAAGAAGAUGAAUCAACUUUCCAUCUUGUUGACACAAGUCGACCACAAAAGCCUGUUUACAUGUGCAAUAGGAACAAAUUCAAUCAGAGGAAUAAUCGACGUGAUAAAGAGCGUCAAAUGCAUUGUCAGCAAGCUGGGAUGCAGAAUUUGCUGAAGACUCGUGACAACAGACUCCAUCGUAAAUUGCAAAAACAAUUUGCCAACAGAAACAACUGGCAGAAACAUAGAAAUCAGACUCCUCAGAGG